CGCCUGUUUAUCAAAAACAUGUCUUUUUGUUAAUUAUUUAAGGUUUGGCCUGCUCCAUGAUUGAUUAAAUAGCCGCAGUAUUUUGACUGUGCAAAGGUAGCAUAAUCAUUAGUUUUUUAAUUGAAAGCUGGAAUGAAGGGUCGGAUGAGAAAGUGGCUGUCUCAUUAUUAUUUUAAUUGAAUUUUAUAUUUAAGUUAAAAAGCUUAAAUUUUAUAUAAAGACGAGAAGACCCUAUAGAGUUUAAUAGGUUUAUUUUACAUUUAUUUUUAGGUUUUAGUUUAAUUGUUUUAUAGCUUAUUUGGUUGGGGUGACAUAAGAAUUGAAUUAACUUCUUAGAGUAUAUACAUUGAUUAAUGAAUAUUUGAUCCUAUAAUUUAGAUUAUAAGAAUAAAUUACCUUAGGGAUAACAGCGUAAUUCUUUUAGAGAGUUCUUAUCGAUAAAAGGGAUUGCGACCUCGAUGUUGGAUUAAAGUUAAUUCCUGGUGCAGAAGCUAGGAUUAUU
rnacentral:rRNA from 1 species